CUGAAAGGGGUGAGGCCAGGCAUGUGGACUUCUGCGGAAGAGCUCCGCAGGCAGCAGGAACGUCAAGGGAUUACAGGCAGCAGGGUGCCUGGCAUGUUCAACAAACGGUGAGGAGGCCGGUGCUGGAGCCCAGGAGCCAGGGAGAGAGAGGAGGAGACAUGGCUGGACGGCAAGCCAUCUUGCUCAGCCCUGGGGCAGAAGCACCGCUGGCUUUUGGAGGCCAUUGUUUAACAAUAACAGACUAAAACACGGAUAAGAGAAGAUACCUGCUCUCUCAACCCCUGAAGUCAAGCAGAAGGCAAAUACGAUAAAAUUAAACUGGAGCUCAUCAGCAAGUACGCCCUCCAUGGCCACGUCUGUUCAGAAGACUACAGCACAAACUGUCAACAGAGGGACUGAGUCACAGAGGGAGCGGGAGGAGCCAAGGCACCUGAAAGGCAUCCGGUCCAACCUCUUCAUUCUACAAAGAAGGACAUGAGGCCGGCGGAGGCUAAUGACCUGCCAAGGGUUGGCUAACGCACAACACAGGCCACCUCUCCCUUACCUCAUCACCUAGCAAACACUGAUGAUUGAUCAUUACAUGUCCCCCCAUCCACAGCUGCAAGCCAGAACGCUCCUACAACGCCUCACCCAACUGCUCAGAACUGAUGCAUGAAACGGAAGCCAUUUUCCGACUCCGGACUUGCCUAAGGUGACAAAGCAAUCUUUGUAAUACGUGCUCCAGUGUAACCCUGCCUUGAAAGUCACUGACUAGUCUACUAGUCACUAGUUCACUUACUGUCGAGCCUGGGGUGAGCAAACACAGUCUAUGUAGUGGGACCAAGUGUGCAGGUUUACCUGGGACACACCUGUUUCACACCUGUUUUCCCACCUUAAUAUUCAACAGUACUCCCACAGUCUCAAAAUUGUCGCAGAAUGAAUAAAAAUAAAAACGGAUGGUCAUCCAAA